UACGGAGGAUGCAAGCGUUAUCCGGAAUGAUUGGGCGUAAGCGUCCGCAGGUGGCUGUGUAAGUCUGCUGUCAAAGAGCAAAGCUCAACUUUGUAAAGGCAGUGGAAACUACACGGCUAGAGUGCGUUCGGGGCAGAGGGAAUUCCUGGUGUAGCGGUGAAAUGCGUAGAGAUCAGGAAGAACACCGGUGGCGAAGGCGCUCUGCUAGGCCGCAACUGACACUGAGGGACGAAAGCUAGGGGAGCGAAUGGG
rnacentral:rRNA from 1 species